rnacentral:rRNA from 1 species
CCCCUGUGAGGGGAGUGAAAUAGAUCCUGAAACCGCAUGCAUACAAGCAGUGGGAGCCGACUAGUUCGGUGACUGCGUACCUUUUGUAUAAUGGGUCAGCGACUUAUAUUCUGUAGCAAGGUUAACCGAAUAGGGGAGCCGAAGGGAAACCGAGUCUUAACUGGGCGUUAAGUUGCAGGGUAUAGACCCGAAACCCGGUGAUCUAGCCAUGGGCAGGUUGAAGGUUGGGUAACACUAACUGGAGGACCGAACCGACUAAUGUUGAAAAAUUAGCGGAUGACUUGUGGCUGGGGGUGAAAGGCCAAUCAAACCGGGAGAUAGCUGGUUCUCCCCGAAAGCUAUUUAGGUAGCGCCUCGUGAAUUCAUCUCCGGGGGUAGAGCACUGUUUCGGCAAGGGGGUCAUCCCGACUUACCAACCCGAUGCAAACUGCGAAUACCGGAGAAUGUUAUCACGGGAGACACACGGCGGGUGCUAACGUCCGUCGUGAAGAGGGAAACAACCCAGACCGCCAGCUAAGGUCCCAAAGUCAUGGUUAAGUGGGAAACGAUGUGGGAAGGCCCAGACAGCCAGGAUGUUGGCUUAGAAGCAGCCAUCAUUUAAAGAAAGCGUAAUAGCUCACUGGUCGAGUCGGCCUGCGCGGAAGAUGUAACGGGGCUAAACCAUGCACCGAAGCUGCGGCAGCGACGCUGAUGCGUUGUUGGGUAGGGGAGCGUUCUGUAAGCCUGCGAAGGUGUGCUGUGAGGCAUGCUGGAGGUAUCAGAAGUGCGAAUGCUGACAUAAGUAACGAUAAAGCGGGUGAAAAGCCCGCUCGCCGGAAGACCAAGGGUUCCUGUCCAACGUUAAUCGGGGCAGGGUGAGUCGACCCCUAAGGCGAGGCCGAAAGGCGUAGUCGAUGGGAAACAGGUUAAUAUUCCUGUACUUGGUGUUACUGCGAAGGGGGGACGGAGAAGGCUAUGUUGGCCGGGCGACGGUUGUCCCGGUUUAAGCGUGUAGGCUGGUUUUCCAGGCAAAUCCGGAAAAUCAAGGCUGAGGCGUGAUGACGAGGCACUACGGUGCUGAAGCAACAAAUGCCCUGCUUCCAGGAAAAGCCUCUAAGCAUCAGGUAACAUCAAAUCGUACCCCAAACCGACACAGGUGGUCAGGUAGAGAAUACCAAGGCGCUUGAGAGAACUCGGGUGAAGGAACUAGGCAAAAUGGUGCCGUAACUUCGGGAGAAGGCACGCUGAUAUGUAGGUGAAGCGACUUGCUCGUGGAGCUGAAAUCAGUCGAAGAUACCAGCUGGCUGCAACUGUUUAUUAAAAACACAGCACUGUGCAAACACGAAAGUGGACGUAUACGGUGUGACGCCUGCCCGGUGCCGGAAGGUUAAUUGAUGGGGUCAGCGCAAGCGAAGCUCUUGAUCGAAGCCCCGGUAAACGGCGGCCGUAACUAUAACGGUCCUAAGGUAGCGAAAUUCCUUGUCGGGUAAGUUCCGACCUGCACGAAUGGCGUAAUGAUGGCCAGGCUGUCUCCACCCGAGACUCAGUGAAAUUGAACUCGCUGUGAAGAUGCAGUGUACCCGCGGCAAGACGGAAAGACCCCGUGAACCUUUACUAUAGCUUGACACUGAACAUUGAGCCUUGAUGUGUAGGAUAGGUGGGAGGCUUUGAAGUGUGGACGCCAGUCUGCAUGGAGCCGACCUUGAAAUACCACCCUUUAAUGUUUGAUGUUCUAACGUUGACCCGUAAUCCGGGUUGCGGACAGUGUCUGGUGGGUAGUUUGACUGGGGCGGUCUCCUCCUAAAGAGUAACGGAGGAGCACGAAGGUUGGCUAAUCCUGGUCGGACAUCAGGAGGUUAGUGCAAUGGCAUAAGCCAGCUUGACUGCGAGCGUGACGGCGCGAGCAGGUGCGAAAGCAGGUCAUAGUGAUCCGGUGGUUCUGAAUGGAAGGGCCAUCGCUCAACGGAUAAAAGGUACUCCGGGGAUAACAGGCUGAUACCGCCCAAGAGUUCAUAUCGACGGCGGUGUUUGGCACCUCGAUGUCGGCUCAUCACAUCCUGGGGCUGAAGUAGGUCCCAAGGGUAUGGCUGUUCGCCAUUUAAAGUGGUACGCGAGCUGGGUUUAGAACGUCGUGAGACAGUUCGGUCCCUAUCUGCCGUGGGCGCUGGAGAACUGAGGGGGGCUGCUCCUAGUACGAGAGGACCGGAGUGGACGCAUCACUGGUGUUCGGGUUGUCAUGCCAAUGGCACUGCCCGGUAGCUAAAUGCGGAAGAGAUAAGUGCUGAAAGCAUCUAAGCACGAAACUUGCCCCGAGAUGAGUUCUCCCUGACUCCUUGA